ACGUGCCUUUAGGUUCGGAAUAACUCAGGGAAACUUGUGCUAAUACCGGAUGUGCCCUUCGGGGGAAAGAUUUAUCGCCUUUAGAGCGGCCCGCGUCUGAUUAGCUAGUUGGUGAGGAAAUGGCUCACCAAGGCUACGAUCAGUAGCUGGUCUGAAGGAUGACCAGCCACAUUGGGACUGAGACACGGCCCAAACUCCUACGGGAGGCAGCAGUGGGGAAUCUUGCGCAAUGGGCGAAAGCCUGACG
rnacentral:rRNA from 1 species